UAACCUCGUUUGCAGAAAUAA
rnacentral:piRNA from 1 species